AAUUAAUUACCUAGGCUAAACUCAAAUUAGAGACUAAAGUUAAACUCUUAACUAGUGUAACAUGUACUUCUCUCAGUUUUGCUUAUAAUUCAUUGAAUUUGUCCUUUAUAAAAUUUGAAUACAUAAUUUCCCUUUAGAAUGCCUUGUAUGGAUGAGAGAAGCACUCACUCUAUAGAAAUGCUUGUUAGGAUGAAUAUUAAAACACUAACAUUUGCAUAUACAUUCCCAAUAAAACUUUUGUUCCUAAACUUGAACCUUGAUUUGAUAAUCUCAAUUAAUUACUUUAAUAAAAUUGGAAUGCUGAAGUCUGUCAGUUUUGUGGACCCUGAUAACAUCUUUGGAAACCAGUGGCCUCUGAUAAGGAAGGGACAGCAAACUGUAGACAUAUGUUAUAUUAAGUUGCCCUCACUUGUCAGGUCUUGGAAACACACUUAUUUUAUUGCAGAUGCCUCUAGGAUACCACGUUACAUAUUGACUAGGCAUACUUAUUAUCCUAUUUUAUUUUAGUUAUUUCACAGUGCGCAGCCUAUGCAAACAAUGUCUAGGUCCCAACUUCAGCUUGUACAUCCUCUAAGAGCCAGCAUUAAUACUGUUUUAUCUAUCAAAACUAUAUAUAAAGUAUUAAAAACAUGAACCAUCUGUGUAUUAGGCUGAGGUUGUUGGGUGUGGGUAUAGCUUGAAAGUUGUGGUUGGUAUUGAGGAACCUGCCAGAGUGGGAGUCCUUGAAUGCCAGCUGGGCCAGGUUCUCCCCUAGCACCGGGUUCUCCUUUGUCUCCUUGAGCACCAGGUUCACCAUUGUUACCCUUAGGUCCAGGGGAACCUUUGGGGCCCUGAGGUCCAGGAGCACCAGGGAAGCCAGGGACACCAUCAAUACCAGUGGGGCCAGCUUGACCAGGAGAACCGGGUUCACCACAAGCACCUUGGGGUGAAUCCCUGCUAUCCACAAUUAAAACAGUGCUGAAGUUACCACCUCUACAAAAGUUAGAAACUUUGACCAAAUCCUCUACCUUUGCCUUUAAAACUUUUCUGAUUCAAUCUCCUAUCACCUCCCAAAUUUCUUUGUCUCGCCUGCUUAGGAUCACAGUCCUUGUGACUGCUACAACAUACCUUUUCCUUCUUUCUUUCUAUCAAAACAACCUGCUGUAUCUUUCUCGUGAAUCUUCCCAAGAAAUUCAUUUGGGGUCAAAAAGGGCCAGUCACAGACCAGCAAGGAACAAAAGUGAACAAGGAGGAAGCAUAUUCCAUAUGCAGGUCGGGAUUAC